rnacentral:rRNA from 1 species
GGUAGUCCACGCCGUAAACGGUGGGUGCUAGGUGUGAGCGGUAUUCCACGCCGUUCGUGCCGCAGCUAACGCACUAAGCACCCCGCCUGGGGAGUACGGCCGCAAGGCUAAAACUCAAAGGAAUUGACGGGGGCCCGCACAAGCAGCGGAGCAUGUGGCUUAAUUCGACGCAACGCGAAGAACCUUACCAAGGCUUGACAUGCAGGGAAAUCCUCCAGAGAUGGGGGGUCCGUAAGGGUCCUGCACAGGUGGUGCAUGGUUGUCGUCAGCUCGUGUCGUGAGAUGUUGGGUUAAGUCCCGCAACGAGCGCAACCCUCGUUCUAUGUUGCCAGCGCGUGAUGGCGGGGACUCAUAGGAGACUGCCGGGGUCAACUCGGAGGAAGGUGGGGACGACGUCAAAUCAUCAUGCCCCUUAUGUCUUGGGCUGCACACAUGCUACAAUGGCCGAUACAAAGGGCUGCUAAGCCGCGAGGUGGAGCGAAUCCCAAAAAGUCGGUCUCAGUUCGGAUUGGGGUCUGCAACUCGACCCCGUGAAGUCGGAGUUGCUAGUAAUCGCAGAUCAGCAACGCUGCGGUGAAUACGUUCCCGGGCCUUGUACACACCGCCCGUCACGUCACGAAAGUCGGU